rnacentral:rRNA from 1 species
AAACCAGGCCUAUGACCCAUGAUUACCGCCAAGGCUAUUUAGGUGACACUAUAGAAUACUCAAGCUAUGCAUCCAACGCGUUGGGAGCUCUCCCAUAUGGUCGACCUUGCAGGCGGCCGCGAAUUCACUAGUGAUUAGAGUUUGAUCAUGGCUCAGAUUGAACGCUGGCGGCAGGCCUAACACAUGCAAGUCGAGCGCGAAAGCACUUCGGUGUGAGUAGAGCGGCGGACGGGUGAGUAACGCGUAGGAAUCUACCUAGUAGUGGGGGACAACUCGGGGAAACUCGAGCUAAUACCGCAUAAGCCCUACGGGGGAAAGCGGGGGACCCUCGGGCCUCGUGCUAUUAGAUGAGCCUGCGUUGGAUUAGCUAGUUGGUGGGGUAAAGGCCUACCAAGGCGACGAUCCAUAGCUGGUCUGAGAGGAUGAUCAGCCACACCGGGACUGAGACACGGCCCGGACUCCUACGGGAGGCAGCAGUGGGGAAUAUUGCGCAAUGGGCGAAAGCCUGACGCAGCCAUGCCGCGUGUGUGAAGAAGGCCUUCGGGUUGUAAAGCACUUUCAAUUGGGAGGAAAGGUUCACGGUUAAUAACCGUGAGCUGUGACGUUACCUUUAGAAGAAGCACCGGCUAACUCCGUGCCAGCAGCCGCGGUAAUACGGAGGGUGCGAGCGUUAAUCGGAAUUACUGGGCGUAAAGCGCGCGUAGGUGGUCUGUUAAGUCGGAUGUGAAAGCCCCGGGCUCAACCUGGGAACUGCAUUCGAUACUGGCAGACUAGAGUGCGAGAGAGGGAGGUAGAAUUCCAUGUGUAGCGGUGAAAUGCGUAGAUAUGUGGAGGAAUACCAGUGGCGAAGGCGGCCUCCUGGCUCGACACUGACACUGAGGUGCGAAAGCGUGGGGAGCAAACAGGAUUAGAUACCCUGGUAGUCCACGCCGUAAACGAUGUCUACUAGCUGUAGGGGUACUUGAGACCUUUGUAGCGCAGCUAACGCACUAAGUAGACC